UUUCCGUAGGUGAACCUGCGGAAGGAUCAUUAAUGAAGUUUGGGCUUCGGCCCUCUCUCUCUAAACACACUUGUGAAUCUACCCUGUUGCUUUGGCAGGUCUCUGUGCGGGUUGCGAAACCCGGAUGGUUAGACCGAGAGGUGCCUGCCAAGGACAUUCAAAAUCACCCUUUUAUUUUUCAAUUGUCUGACAAUCGUUUUUAAAACAAACAAAAUAAAACUUUCAACAAUGGAUCUCUUGGCUCUGGCAUCGAUGAAGAACGCAGC
rnacentral:misc_RNA from 1 species